GGAUGUGAGGGCGAUCUGGCUGCGACAUCUGUCACCCCAUUGAUCGCCAGGGUUGAUUCGGCUGAUCUGGCUGGCUAGGCGGGUGUCCCCUUCCUCCCUCACCGCUCCAUGUGCGUCCCUCCCGAAGCUGCGCGCUCGGUGGAAGAGGACGACCAUCCCAGAUAGAAGGAGUGUACCGUUCUUCGGUCAAGGGUAUACGAUAGCUGCGCUCCCCUGCUAGAACCUCCAUGAACUUAUUUUGUCAAUGCAAGAAACUAGACAGGCCUUUGGCCUGAUCAGCGUAACUCUUCUCCUGAGAAGAAGCUCCUGAGAAAAAGU